ensembl:lncRNA
GUGGGAAAAGGAUUAUGAAGUCCAGCCAAUCCAUCAAAUGUGAAAGGCCACAAUGAAAUAGCCCACAAUGCAUUUUGUGCCAAUUUGAAGAAUGUUUUUACAAUUUGCCUUGUCAUCAUUGUGAAUAAUCAGCCCAACUAGCACAGAAUCAAAUGGAUUCCCUUGUUCCCCUGUGAGACAGCAGUACCCAUUGUGUGAACAGGUUUUGGAGCUAUGUGGGGCAAGUGUGGGCUGUGUGGGCCAGGGUCAAGUGCUGCCUCAGGGAUGUACUCAGACUAUGAUGUCACAAUAGUUGAACAGUGACUGUCACGUUCCAAAUAUGGCGAAUUCUGACUCCAGGUCUGCCAGUCAGCAUUCCUCAUCUGGUGAAGAACAAUAGAAAACAAUAUGGCAAAAAACAAUGCUGCGGAGAGCAAGUUCUUCAAGGCUUUCUGUCAGCCUAUCAGCAAUGAUGAGGUCAUUAGUCCUCUUGUCCAAGAGAUCUGCCAGAGGGCCAAAGUUUUAGAUUCUCAGGAGAUUUGGAACAUUUUGAGGGCAGAGACCAAAUCAAAGCUUGCUCAGCCGACAGUCUCCCAAAAAGUGCUUGCAGCUAUGAAGUUGUUGGACGAGCAUCUGGAGUGUAAACGUGUGACAGAGGAAAAAAAACGCACCAUGUUGCAGAGGUGUCGAGUCAUUCUCAUGUUCAAAGCAUCUGAAUUUAACCUGGACCGCACGACCUUGCUGAUCGCCAACAACCCACUGCAGACUGCCGAUGACCCUGCGGGCACCGACAGCCCUACUAAAUACCUGCAUACCUAUACCCACCCCCCAAUACAGAAGGGGGCACCAGACUUGACCAGCUCUUGCAAACUGCCUCCUCUGAAACGACCUAUAACAUCUAAUUCACCAAGACAGGAAAGAGCGGGCAGGUAUAUCCCAACUAUUCAGUGCAUUCUGUUUUUUCCACAGCCACUAAAGUAACUGUUUCAACAAAAGAAAGUGCUAAAAAUGCUUAAAAAAAAACAACAACAUGCAUAUCGUUAGAGUGCGCAUGAUUAGGGAAAGUUGGUUUGGGGCAAGGACAACGCUAAAAG